rnacentral:rRNA from 1 species
UACAGAGGUCUCAAGCGUUGUCCGGAAUCAUUGGGCGUAAAGAGCGUGUAGGCGGCCCGAUAAGUCCGCUGUGAAAGUCCAGGGCUCAACCCUGGAAUGCCGGUGGAUACUGUCGGGCUCGAGUCCGGAAGAGGCGAGUGGAAUUCCUGGUGUAGCGGUGAAAUGCGCAGAUAUCAGGAGGAACACCGAUGGCGAAGGCAGCUCGCUGGGACGGUACUGACGCUGAGACGCGAAAGCGUGGGGAGCAAACAGG